rnacentral:rRNA from 1 species
CACGUAGGGCGCAAGCGUUGUCCGGAAUUAUUGGGCGUAAAGAGCUCGUAGGCGGUCUGUUGCGUCCGCUGUGAAACUUGGGGCUUAACCCUGAGCUUGCGGUCGAUACGGGCAUGACUGGAGUUCGGCAGGGGAGACUGGAAUUCCUGGUGUAGCGGUGAAAUGCGUAGAUAUCAGGAGGAACACCUGAGGCGAAGGCGGGUUGCUAGGCUGACACUGACGCUGAGGCGCGAAAGCUAGGGUAGCAAACGGG